CAUCUUUUAUGGAUGGUUGUCCAUGUUUUUUCUAUCCAUCUUUCCUUACCAGUUGCUCCUAGCUUAUAAAUUUCAUCUUCUUUUUCCUUUCUUCACCUAACUUUCUCCUUUCAACCAUCCUUGAACUAUGGAAAUAUCAAAUCAUUCAAAGCCUGAAAUAUUUAUCCUUUUGCAUUCUCUAUAGUCGUUGCCUUAUUCUCAUAUUUGAUCUUGGUGAUCCAUUUUUUUGGGUUCUUCUCAUCUUGUUGAGAGU
rnacentral:lncRNA from 1 species